CUUGUUUCACACUUUUAAACAAUGAGCAACUAUCAAGUGAAUACUCUAAAAGAUAAAGCAUAUAGAAAGACACAAGCAUUUUUUUGAUAUCACAUCUCUGAAACCAAUAGAACUGCUGCCCUUGCCCUCUGAUGUAAAUAAGGAAUUCCUAAGCUGGCUAAAAUUCAUUCUUGUUUUUCUAGUAUAACAUGCUAGAAAUGGGACACAAAUAUUUUAUUUUUAUAAUUUAGUUAUGUAUUUCCUCCAUAUUCCUUUGUUUCUUUCAUAGUUCAUUUUAGUCUUUUUCCCCUGUUCCAUCACGUCUCAUUCUGAAGGCAAGUUCAAGUUUAUUUUAGCGUGCUUUUAACUCUUCCCAUUACUAUAUUUUUGUGCUUAAAAAAAAUUAUAAUAGGCAUUUUUCAUUAACCUUUUGCUCUCUCUUUUUUUCCCCCAUAGGUGACAUCAUGGCUAUUAAACCAGAGUAACAUAAUUGUUAACUGGAAUUUAACCCUUGCAUCAAGUGAAAUAAAACCCAGUAGGAGAGGGAGGAAAUAGCACUGAGCUUCCUAAAAGAUGGACCAAAAAUCCCCAUGAAGGCAAAUAGAGAGGGAGUGGACCAUGUGCACAGGAGGCUGGGAGGGGAUCCGGCCAGGAGCUGAUGACCAGGAGCUGACCCCUGAUGACCAAAGGGAUAGCCCAUACCACGGGACAUCAUGGUCAGCAAUCAAAACUGAGGAAAGAAGGAGGAAACCAAGAAUGUUCAGAGUUAAGGCAUUUGUCUUCCCAAGUAACUUCCAUGGUAUGGAGUCCUGAUUUCUGGGAGAUGACUGAACACCUGCCUACCCUUGGAAAGUGGCAAAUAAAUUCCUUGUUUUGCUUUGCUUGUAUGCACAGCUUUUACUUUGCCUAUUAAAGAUGAAUCUACCUCA